rnacentral:rRNA from 1 species
GACGAACGCUGGCGGCGUGCCUAAUACAUGCAAGUAGAACGCUGAAGGAGGAGCUUUCCCUUCUGGAUGAUUUGCGCACGGGUGAGUAACGCGUAGGUAACCUGCCUGUUAGCGGGGGAUAACUAUUGGAAACGAUAGCUAAUACCGCAUAUGAGUAGAUGUUGCAUGACAUUUACUUAAAAGGUGCAAUUUCAUCACUACCAGUUGGACCUGCGUUGGCUUAGUUAGUUGGUGGGGUAAUGGCGUCCCAAGGCGACGAUACAUAGCCGACCUGGGAAGGGGAUCGGCCACCCUGGGAAUGGGGAACGGCCCAAACUCCUACCGGAAGGAGCAGUAGGGAAACUUCCGCAAUGGACGGAAGUCUUGACGGACAACGCCGCGUGGGUGAAGAAGGUUUUCGGAUCGGAAAGACCUGUUGUAAGGGGAGAAAGAGUGUGGGAGUGGAAAGUUCACGCUGUGACGGUAUCUUACCAGAAAGGGACGGCUAACUACGUG